rfam:Aeribacillus pallidus strain 8m3 NODE_3, whole genome shotgun sequence.
AUAAAAAAAAGCCUGCAGAUUGGAUCUGCAGGAUCCUUCCUAGCUUUGAAGCAAAAUCUUCAAAGCAGAAGGGAAAGGGAGAGGAGAAACCGGAGGAAGAACUUAUGGGGAAACGUAAGUCUUCUCCGCGG